rnacentral:lncRNA from 1 species
GUGGAGCACAGACAGCAUCAUGUCUGGCUGGGGAUGGGGUACACACAGCUGAUCCCCUGGGCAGGGUCUGCACACAGAGGCCCUGGUACCUGCGGGGUGCUGGGGAGUCAAUGCUGAAUCAAAACAUUGCCAUUUCCCAAUUAGCAGGAACAAGCUGCCGUGCCAGGCUGGAAAAGCAGCAGAAAUGGGGAUGCCCAAGUCCAAAACCUGGAGCAGCUCCUGCUUGGUGCAAAAGGCUAGAAAAGCAGCCUUAUUCUUAGCAUAUUCUUCCCCUUGCCACCCAAAAGCAGCAGAUCCACGCAUUCAGUCGUUUCACCACUUGGUGUUUGCCGCAGCACAUGGCGCUCUGCAUCUAGCAACAACUGCCAGCAAAAACACAGCGUGCUGCUGCUCCCCCCACUGUGACCCCACAGCCGCAGCUCACGCUGACACAAAUCCUUUUCAGGAGGUGACCCAGCAGCAGCACCCGGCCAUGGCAGCACCACGCAGGGGAGCACAGCUCCGGCAGAUUGAUGGAGAAACUAUUAGAGGCACAAAGACCUGCUGGGUCACACUGGGAGCUGCAGGUACCACAGAACUGUUAAAAUUGGUACACAAGUGAGAAUUCUUGGAAAAGGAAUGAAGGAAAGAAAACACGUCGAUUAUGUACAUCACUGCAGAAAACAGAAAUGAGAUCCUGCAGGAGGGUGAGGGAAUGAGUAUGAACUCUUAAGUCAACGACGUAUCCUUCAAAGGGGUAAAAGCAAUUUAUUAGAAGAUCACAUACACAAAAACAUGGACAGUUCUUGUUGGUGGGAGAUGAACACAGCAAAAACUAAAGAAAAUACCUCCAGGAAUCAACCCUUUCAGAAUGGCUUUAGAAAGAACAUGAAGAUGAAAUGGCAAAAAAAAAAGGCGCAUUUUUUACAGUCCACGGACAGUCCAAGACCCAUGAACAUUUAUAGAUUCUCCAGGAGCUUUGAAGCUCUGCCAUAUUGCAACAUCUUGACCUCAGUUGUCUCAAGCUCACUCUCAAAGGCAGGCGAACCAAAGGCAGUGACCGUCAAUGAGACUGCAACAUGACUCGUAGCAAUUACUCAAAUCACAGGGUUCAGUGAUCAAAUCUGACCAAAGCUCAGUUCAGCUUAGCCUGUGAAACCAUGAGGAAU